GAAAAGUACAUUUCGGGCUUGCCACUAAGUCCACUGAAGUAGCUAAAUUCACUGUAUUUUACUAUGGCAAUUGCUAGAUAGUAUACUUCAAAAUAAGGUUUCCGUUUUUAUAUCAAUUUUUAAAAUAAUUAAAAUAAGUUAGGGUUAGGUUAGGGUUUAGGUUAGGGUUAGGUUAGGGUUAGGGUUAGGGUGAGGGUUAGUAUUAGGGUUAGGGUUUAGUUUUGCGUUAGGAUAGUUUUUUCUACGUUAUAAAAACGGAAAUCUUAUUUUGAAGUAUACUAUCUAGCGAUCACCAUUUUACUAUCUUUAGUAUCGAUAGCGUCGACUUUUAAACUUUUUGAAAAUUGUCUUCGUUCCUCGGUUUGUCGCUAAAAAAUAACUCUUUUGGACCACGGUCAAGAUAUCGUGAAAAGCUGCCCGCUCUUGCAGCCAAUCAGAUUGCAGGAAAUAAAAAAAAAUAUCACUAGGCAUGCACAAAUAAAAAAAAUAUUAUUAUAUAUCAAUAGUCAAAGUCGCAUUUUUCUAGUGUUUUAUUGGUUGAGAGCAUAUCACGUGAGAGUGACGAAAUUAGGCUGUCUCCCUCGCAACAGCGCGAGAGGGAGAUAAUACGUUAUCGACCGGCGAAUAACAAAGAAAUCACGUGCGCAAUCACGUGAAGAUCCGACCUUUGGACAUGCCUAGUACGUAAUUAAAACUUUCGCUUUAAGUAACUGCAGUGUAAGCCAGUGUUUAAUAUAACGUAUUAACAAUAAAAUAUUUCAUGUAUUUAUGUUCAUUUGUUCUUUAAUUUGUUGUUUCUUUGACUAUUGACAUAUAAUAAAACACUUAUUUACUGAGACCUCGGGAAAGCAGUGUGUUUUGUGGACCCUCGAUGUUUCCCUCGGCUUCGCCUCGGGAAACAUCGACGGUCCCGGGUCCACAAAACACACCGUUUCCCUCGGUCUCAGUAAAUAAGUGAUAAAUAUUGCAUGUCUGCAGAAUUACAUAUCUGCAUAUUGUACUAUAUAUAUAGCGAGCGGCCCCGGGGGAGUGAAAAAGCCCAGGCCCUCUCUGAAAGGAGCCAAAGGAAAUUUUAACGAUGGCAGCUCAACCCCUGCAUGAGCUCUGUACAUGGUCAACGAUAUUAUAACCACAAAUUUCGCAUGUGUAGGGAUGGACGGUUAGAUUCUGAUCGAAAAGUUUCUGUAGAUAUCAUUUUCUACAGUUUCUUCACGAUGUUUUAAAUAUGCCCGCGUAGAAACAUUGAAAAUACUAAUUAACAUAUCAAUAAUUGUACUCCCCCUCCCGAAUAAGUUUUGUUGAUUAAUCGUCCAAAGAACCAUCGAUGGCGACUUGAUACACAGCUGCGAAGUGAUCAUAACCAGACUUUAUUACGAAGCGAAGAUGACUUGCAGAGGUUGCUGGCAUCUGGAAGUCAAACAGUUG